AUUGAACGCUGGCGGCAGGCCUAACACAUGCAAGUCGAGCGAGUGGCGGACGGGUGAGUAAUGUCUGGGAAACUGCCCGAUGGAGGGGGGUAACUACUGGAAACGGUAGCUAAUCCCGCAUACCAUCGGAUGUGCCCAGAUGGGGUUAGCUAGUAGGUGGGGUAACGGCUCACCUAGGCGACGAUCCCUAGCUGGGCUGAGAGGAUGACCAGACACACGGGAACUGAGACACGGUCCAGACUCCUACGGGAGGCAGCAGGGGGGAAUAUUGCACAAUGGGCGCAAGCCUGAUGCAGCCAUGCCGCGGGUAUUAAGAAGGCCUUCGGGUUGUAAAGUACGUUCAGCGAGGAGGCGUUACCCGACGAAGAAGCACCGGCUAACUCCGUGCCAGCAGCCGCGGUAAUUC
rnacentral:rRNA from 1 species